rnacentral:lncRNA from 1 species
CAAAGAAAGAAAAAUGACUCUGCAGGCCAUUGCUAGUUUUGAAAAUAGAGGGGAAUUGAAUCAUCAGCCAAGGAAUGCAGACAGCCUUUAGAAGCUGAAAAAGGCGAGAAAAUGGGUUUUCCUAAAGUCUCCAGAAAGAUCACAGCCCUGCUGACACAUUUUCCAUAGCUGCCACUUCCCCUUAAGGCAAUGCCUGCCUCAAGUCCGUCUGGUGACCUAAAUGGAGGAGAGGUAACGGGGUAAAAUGGAAUGAGCAUAUUCUCCUACCUUGAAUCAUAUAGUAAGGAAGAAUUUCCUGGAACAGAUAUUUAGCAAUGAACUGGAUUUCCCAUGCAGAAGUACCUAUUCUAUUAUGGAAAUUAUUGAGCAGUA